rnacentral:tRNA from 1 species
UGCCUUUAUAGCUCAGUGGUAGAGCGUUGCACUUGUAAUGCAAAGGUCCAUAGUUCAAUCCUGUGUGGAGGCAG